GACGAACGCUGGCGGCGUGCUUAACACAUGCAAGUCGAACGGAAAGGCCCUGCUUUUGUGGGGUGCUCGAGUGGCGAACGGGUGAGUAACACGUGAGUAACCUGCCCUUGACUUUGGGAUAACUUCAGGAAACUGGGGCUAAUACCGGAUAGGAGCUACUGCUGCAGGGUGGGGGUUGGAAAGUUUCGGCGGUUGGGGGUGGACUCGCGGCGUAUCAGCUUGUUGGUGGGGUAGUGGCUUACCAAGGCCUUGACGGGUGGCAGGCCUGGGAGGGUGACCGGCCACACUGGGACUGAGCUACGGCACAGACUCCUACGGGAGGCAGAAGUGGGGAAUAUUGUACUAUGGGCGGAAGCCUGAUGCAGCAACGCCGCGUGCGGGAUGACGGCCUUCGGGUUGUAAACCGCUUUCGCCUGUGACGAAGCGUGAGUGACGGUAAUGGGUAAAGAAGCACCGGCUAACUACGUG
rnacentral:rRNA from 1 species